GUAGGGAAUAUUGGACAAUGGGGGCAACCCUGAUCCAGCGACGCCGCGUGAGUGACGAAGGCCUUCGGGUCGUAAAGCUCUGUUGCAAGGGAAAAACAAAAUGAUGGUACCUUGCUAGAAAGGAUCGGCUAACUUCGUGCCAGCAGCCGCGGUAAGACGAGGGAUCCUAGCGUUGUCCGGAAUUAUUGGGCGUAAAGCGGGUGUAGGUGGCUUUGUAAGUCAGGUGUGAAAGCCUGGGGCUUAACCCCAGAAGUGCAUUUGAUACUGCGAAGCUUGAGUGCUGGAGAGGCUACUAGAAUUCUUGGUGUAGUGGUGAAAUACGUAGAUAUCAAGAGGAAUACCGGAGGCGAAGGCGGGUAGCUGGCCAGACACUGACACUCAGACCCGAAAGCGUGGGGAUCAAACAGGAUUAGAAACCCUUGUAGUCC
rnacentral:rRNA from 1 species